UACGAAGGGGGCUAGCGUUGCUCGGAAUUACUGGGCGUAAAGCGCACGUAGGCGGUUUGUUAAGUCGGGGGUGAAAUCCUGGAGCUCAACUCCAGAACUGCCUUCGAUACUGGCGAUCUCGAGUUCGGGAGAGGUGAGUGGAACUGCGAGUGUAGAGGUGAAAUUCGUAGAUAUUCGCAUGAACACCAGUGGCGAAGGCGGCUCACUGGCCCGAUACUGACGCUGAGGCGCGAAAGCCAGGGGAGCAAACGGG
rnacentral:rRNA from 1 species